UACGUAGGGUGCGAGCGUUUGUCCGGAAUUACUGGGCGUAAAGAGUUCGUAGGCGGUUUGUCGCGUCGUUCGUGAAAACUUGGGGCUUAACUCCAAGCGUGCGGGCGAUACGGGCAGACUUGAGUACUACAGGGGAGACUGGAAUUCCUGGUGUAGCGGUGAAAUGCGCAGAUAUCGGGAAGAACACCCGUGGCGAAGGCGGCUCUCUGGGGACGGUACUGACGCUGAGACGCGAAAGCGUGGGGAGCGAACAGG
rnacentral:rRNA from 1 species